rnacentral:rRNA from 1 species
CUAACACAUGCAAGUCGAGCGGCAGCGCGAUAUGUAGCAAUACAUAUUGGCGGCGAGCGGCGGACGGGUGAGGAACACGUAGGAACCUACCCUCGAGAGGGGGAUAACCAAGGGAAACUUUGGCUAAUACCGCAUGAACUCGAGAGAGCAAAGCUGCCGCAAGGUGGCGCUCGAGAGGGGGCCCGCGUGCGAUUAGCUAGUUGGUGAGGUAAGAGCUAACCAAGGCGAUGAGCGGUAACGGGUCUGAAAGGACGACCAGUCAAACUGGGACUGAGACACGGCCAAGACUCCUACGGGAGGAAGCAGUGGGGAAUAUUGGACAAUGGGGGAAACCCUGAUCCAGCGAUGCCGGGUGAGUGAAGAAGGCCUUCGGGUCGUAAAGCUCUUUAGGUUGGGAAGAAGGGUGAUGGAGGAAAUGCUAUCACUUUGACGGUACCGACAGAAUAAGCACCGGCAAACUCUGUGCCAGCAGCCGCAGUAACAC